GGUUAAGCGACUAAGCGUACACGGUGGAUGCCCUGGCAGUCAGAGGCGAUGAAGGGCGUGCUAAUCUGCGAUAAGCGCCGGUAAGGUGAUAUGAACCGUUAUAACCGGCGAUACCCGAAUGGGGAAACCCAGUGUGAUUCGUCACACUAUCAUUAACUGAAUCCAUAGGUUAAUGAGGCGAACCGGGGGAACUGAAACAUCUAAGUACCCCGAGGAAAAGAAAUCAACCGAGAUUCCCCCAGUAGCGGCGAGCGAACGGGGAGGAGCCCAGAGCCUGAAUCAGCAUGUGUGUUAGUGGAAGCGUCUGGAAAGGCGCGCGAUACAGGGUGACAGCCCCGUACACAAAAGCGCAUGUGCUGUGAGCUCGAUGAGUAGGGCGGGACACGUGGUAUCCUGUCUGAAUAUGGGGGGACCAUCCUCCAAGGCUAAAUACUCCUGACUGACCGAUAGUGAACCAGUACCGUGAGGGAAAGGCGAAAAGAACCCCGGCGAGGGGAGUGAAAAAGAACCUGAAACCGUGUACGUACAAGCAGUGGGAGCCCCACCACUAAGCCAGUGGUGAACUCCACAUACGCAUCCUUUGCUGAGGAUACGGUUAACGGAGCGAAAGCGACGUUCAACCUCAAAAGAAGCAGAGGGGGCUUAGUGGUGGGGUGACUGCGUACCUUUUGUAUAAUGGGUCAGCGACUUAUAUUCUGUAGCAAGGUUAACCGAAUAGGGGAGCCGGAGGGAAACCGAGUCUUAAUUGGGCGUUAAGUUGCAGGGUAUAGACCCGAAACCCGGUGAUCUAGCCAUGGGCAGGUUGAAGGUUGGGUAACACUAACUGGAGGACCGAACCGACCGACUAAUGUUGAAAAAUUAGCGGAUGACCUGUGGCUGGGGGUGAAAGGCCAAUCAAACCGGGAGAUAGCUGGUUCUCCCCGAAAGCUAUUUAGGUAGCGCCUCGUGAACUCAUCUCCGGGGGUAGAGCACUGUUUCGGCUAGGGGGCCAUCCCGGCUUACCAACCCGAUGCAAACUGCGAAUACCGGAGAAUGUUAUCACGGGAGACACACGGCGGGUGCUAACGUCCGUCGUGAAGAGGGAAACAACCCAGACCGCCAGCUAAGGUCCCAAAGUCAUGGUUAAGUGGGAAACGAUGUGGGAAGGCCCAGACAGCCAGGAUGUUGGCUUAGAAGCAGCCAUCAUUUAAAGAAAGCGUAAUAGCUCACUGGUCGAGUCGGCCUGCGCGGAAGAUGUAACGGGGCUAAACCAUGCACCGAAGCUGCGGCAGCGAACGUAUCACCCAAGACAACUUUACGGAGUUGACGAUUGACGGAGCGAAGCGACGUCAAAGCGUUCAUUAAAGUCGAGUUGGCUUAGGGAUACGUUCGUUGGGUAGGGGAGCGUUCUGUAAGCCUGUGAAGGUGGCCUGUGAGGGUUGCUGGAGGUAUCAGAAGUGCGAAUGCUGACAUAAGUAACGAUAAAGCGGGUGAAAAGCCCGCUCGCCGGAAGACCAAGGGUUCCUGUCCAACGUUAAUCGGGGCAGGGUGAGUCGACCCCUAAGGCGAGGCCGAAAGGCGUAGUCGAUGGGAAACGGGUUAAUAUUCCCGUACUUGGUGUUACUGCGAAGGGGGGACGGAGAAGGCUAUGUUGGCCGGGCGACGGUUGUCCCGGUUUAAGCGUGUAGGCUGGUUUUCCAGGCAAAUCCGGAAAAUCAAGGCUGAGGCGUGACGACGAGGCACUACGGUGCUGAAGCAACAAAUGCCCUGCUUCCAGGAAAAGCCUCUAAGCAUCAGGUAACAUCAAAUCGUACCCCAAACCGACACAGGUGGUCAGGUAGAGAAUACCAAGGCGCUUGAGAGAACUCGGGUGAAGGAACUAGGCAAAAUGGUGCCGUAACUUCGGGAGAAGGCACGCUGACAUGUAGGUGAAGUGAUUUACUCAUGGAGCUGAAGUCAGUCGAAGAUACCAGCUGGCUGCAACUGUUUAUUAAAAACACAGCACUGUGCAAACACGAAAGUGGACGUAUACGGUGUGACGCCUGCCCGGUGCCGGAAGGUUAAUUGAUGGGGUCAGCGCAAGCGAAGCUCCUGAUCGAAGCCCCGGUAAACGGCGGCCGUAACUAUAACGGUCCUAAGGUAGCGAAAUUCCUUGUCGGGUAAGUUCCGACCUGCACGAAUGGCGUAAUGAUGGCCAGGCUGUCUCCACCCGAGACUCAGUGAAAUUGAACUCGCUGUGAAGAUGCAGUGUACCCGCGGCAAGACGGAAAGACCCCGUGAACCUUUACUAUAGCUUGACACUGAACAUUGAGCCUUGAUGUGUAGGAUAGGUGGGAGGCUUUGAAGUGUGGACGCCAGUCUGCAUGGAGCCGACCUUGAAAUACCACCCUUUAAUGUUUGAUGUUCUAACGUGGACCCGUUACCCGGGUUGCGGACAGUGUCUGGUGGGUAGUUUGACUGGGGCGGUCUCCUCCUAAAGAGUAACGGAGGAGCACGAAGGUUGGCUAAUCCUGGUCGGACAUCAGGAGGUUAGUGCAAUGGCAUAAGCCAGCUUGACUGCGAGCGUGACGGCGCGAGCAGGUGCGAAAGCAGGUCAUAGUGAUCCGGUGGUUCUGAAUGGAAGGGCCAUCGCUCAACGGAUAAAAGGUACUCCGGGGAUAACAGGCUGAUACCGCCCAAGAGUUCAUAUCGACGGCGGUGUUUGGCACCUCGAUGUCGGCUCAUCACAUCCUGGGGCUGAAGUAGGUCCCAAGGGUAUGGCUGUUCGCCAUUUAAAGUGGUACGCGAGCUGGGUUUAGAACGUCGUGAGACAGUUCGGUCCCUAUCUGCCGUGGGCGCUGGAGAACUGAGGGGGGCUGCUCCUAGUACGAGAGGACCGGAGUGGACGCAUCACUGGUGUUCGGGUUGUCAUGCCAAUGGCACUGCCCGGUAGCUAAAUGCGGAAGAGAUAAGUGCUGAAAGCAUCUAAGCACGAAACUUGCCCCGAGAUGAGUUCUCCCUGAGACUUAGAGUCUCCUGAAGGAACGUUGAAGACGACGACGUUGAUAGGCCGGGUGUGUAAGCGCAGCGAUGCGUUGAGCUAACCGGUACUAAUGAACCGUGAGGCUUAACCUU
rnacentral:rRNA from 1 species